AACGAGCGCUGGCGGCAUGCCUAACACAUGCAAGUCGAACGAGACCUUCGGGUCUAGUGGCGCACGGGUGCGUAACGCGUGGGAACCUGCCCUUAGGUUCGGAAUAACUCCCCGAAAGGGGUGCUAAUACCGGAUAAUGUCUUCGGACCAAAGAUUUAUCGCCUUUGGAUGGGCCCGCGUUGGAUUAGCUAGUUGGUAGGGUAAAAGCCUACCAAGGCGACGACCCAUAGCUGGUCUGAGAGGAUGAUCAGCCACACUGGGACUGAGACACGGCCCAGACUCCUACGGGAGGCAGCAGUGGGGAAUAUUGGACAAUGGGCGAAAGCCUGAUCCAGCAAUGCCGCGUGAGUGAUGAAGGCCUUAGGGUUGUAAAGCUCUUUUACCCGGGAUGAUAAUGACAGUACCGGGAGAAUAAGCUCCGGCUAACUCCGUG
rnacentral:rRNA from 1 species